rnacentral:lncRNA from 1 species
GUUUGAGUUGCAUAACUUGACCCUGUCUCAAGCAAAUGAAUAGAAUGAAUUUAUUCUCUUAAUCCUCUGAAGGCCAGAAGUGAAGCCCAACCCAAGUUCAAUGAUAAUGCAAAAAACCGCCACUUAAAGUCAGUGGCCUGGUUCAUUGGUUGGCUUUUGUCAACUUAACACAGCUAGAGUCAUUUGAGAAGAGGGACUCUCAAUUGAGAAAGUACCCCAAUGUAAGAUUUUCCUGUAGGCAAGAAUAUAGUGCAUUUAACCCAUUCCAUAGUGUGGAGGAGGAGGGAGAGAGAUGCUCUUCCUAUACUGGUGGUUCUUAAAUAAAGCAGGCUGAGCAAGCCAUGAGAGUAAGCAGUGUUCCACCAUGGCCUAUCCUUCAGUUCUUGUCUUGACCUCCUGCCUGACUUUUCUCAGUGAUUGUCUUAGUUUGGGUUUCUAUUGCCAGGGUAAAACACCUGACCAAAAAGCAAAUUGGGAAGGAAAGGGUUUAUUCAGCUUACACUGCCAGAUCAUAAUUCAUCACUGGAGGAAGUCAGGACAGGAACUCAAGCAGGGCUAGAACCUGGAGGCAGGAGCUGAUGCAGGGGCUAUGGAGGAAUGCUGCUUACUGGCCUGCUUCCCAUGGCUUGCUCAGCUUGUUUUCUUGUAGAACCCAGGACCACCAGCCCAGGGAUGGCACUACCCACCAUGGGUUGGGCACUUCCACAUUGAUGACUAAUUGUGAAAAUGCCUUACAGCUGCAUCUCAUGGAGGCAUUUCCUCGAGUGAGGUUCCUUCCUCUCUGGUGAUUCUAACUUGUGUCAAGUUGACACACAAAACCAGCCAGUAUAGUAAUGGACUGUAUGGAAGCAUCACCUUUCAAUAAAAAAUCUUAUGGCCAAUAAGCUGAGGCAGGAAAUAGGAGGUGGGAGUUCUGGCAGGGAAAGAAAGGAAUUCUAGGAAAUAGUCCGACAUGGGAGAUUCUCCUCAGAACGGAGAGGAAACAAGCCAUGUAGCUGAACUCAGGUUAGAAUAAAAGGGACAGUUGAGUUAUAAGCCAGCUGGAGAACAAGCUGAAGCUUAUGGCUGAGGCAUUUAUUAAUAAAUAAGAAGUCUCAGAGUCGAGUCGUUAUUACAGGGAACAAAGUGCUGAGGAGGAAAAGCUAAGAGUUACAUUCCUCAGAAUUCCUUUCUCUCUGUGGAUGUCCCACCUAGUCCCUCCUGCCUUGUUAUAGGCCCAUUGCUCUUUAUUGACAGGUGAUCCUUUUACACAGUACACAAGAGCUUAUCCCUACAGGUACAGAGGUAAGAAAGGUUGUGGUUAUAAAAAGAAAGUGAAGAUUUAGGUGCUAUUCAAAGAAAUCCUUGGAGAAUAUAAGGAAUGUGGGAUGAAAACAGAAAACCCUAUUUCAAACCCAGAUCUUCUUCUACUCUAAUAGUCCUAGUUAAAUAGAUUAUUAUGUUCCAGCAAGGCCAACAUUCAGUGUGUGUUGCAGGUACACAGUGGAAAGCAUGCACCCCCAGAAGACCCUGCUGUGACCCAGAAAUGAAUCCAUAUACCUCUCUGGGACAUUUUGAGCUGAAAAUACUGCUCUAGACAAGCAUAACGCUCAGAGAGAC